UUGCAUUGAAGCACAUGGCCUCCUAGCACACAGACAGAGAGGAGAAAGGGCCCUUCUGCUCACACCCAGCCCACACCACAGGAGCACCUAGACCAACUCUGGUAAAUACGGGAGGGGACUACACAAGGGUGUGAACACCAGGAGGCAGAGACCAUGGGGGCCAUCUUGGAGCCUGGCUACCGCGGAUGGGAUAUGAUCAGAUGGGAAAAUGUCUUGGAUAAGAGCCACCCUCCAUCUCCUGCCAAUACCCGUGCCAGGGCACCGUGUGAGAUGGGAGUAGAGAAAAACACCUGGAGAGUCCUGCCAAUACCCGUGCCAGGGCACCGUGUGAGCUGGGAGUAGAGAAGGUAAAAACGCCUGGAGAGUCCUGCCAAUACCCGUGCCAGGGCACCGUGUGAGCUGGGAGUAGAGAAGGUAAAAACACCUGGAGAGUCCUGCCAAUACCCGUGCCAGGGCACCGUGUGAGCUGGGAGUAGAGAAGGCCUGGCUGACAGCUGCGUGCAGUCAGAGGGGUCGCUGGCCCAUCACAGUCCAUCUUCCGGUAUCAUCUGCGGUGCUGACAGCCCACGUGAGAAGCUGACAUUGGGCCUUCUACUCUUAACAUCCCUGAGUCCAGACAGAAGUCCCCACACGAGUCUGCAGAUGCUGCUGCUGAGGGCACGGCUCCAAAGGCUCCCUCAUCCACCACCCCCCCACCCCGCGAGCUCCUUACCUUCGUCUUCUUUUUCUUCAUCCUCAAGACUCUCGAUGCAAUCUGGAUGGUGGACAGGGUCUCCGCGUAGCUCCCGACCGCGGCCGAGAUGUGCGCGAUCAUGGUGGUACGGCAGUUCAUGUUCCCCAGAGACUCCCGCAGCAACAUGGCGAGCUUGCUCUCUCUGCCAAACAAAGUGAAUUAGGCUGCAUUAGCGGCCAUGCUUCCCUGUGGCCCUCAGGGCAGGGCUUCAGGCCUGCACACGGCCAUUUUGUUGUGGGUGGUGGUCCCCCCACCCUUUUUAAUGGCAUACUAAUUAGCAUCAUUUUCCAGCAUGGGGCUAUUUGUAGUUGGCAAGCACCGAGCAAGUGCUUCUAACUCCAAGAUGGAAUCUGUGCAAAGCACCUCCCUUGGCGCUUCUGUCCUGGCUGUGAUGGGAUGUUCCUGGGCGUGUGUGUCUGUGACAUUAUACAUAAUGAGGCCUGGGAAUAGAAACAAGAGGAGGGGAUCAGGAGAAAGGGCUCUGUGCCUGGUGACUCGGCUUGCUGACUGCACGUGUGGCCUUUCUCCAGGGUUUCCACACACAGACAAUCUUGCAACAAAAAGGAGUCCCCCUGCCACGAACCUGGAUUAAAGAUCGGUGGGUUUUUAAUACCUGCACAGUUCCUUUAGCCAGGAAACUGCGGCUACUUUAUUGGCAUUGUCCCUUAACUCGCAUAUUUGCACCUAGUAGCACUGAAGGAAAAGGCAUUCAUAUUCCUGAAGACUAGGGGAGAAACACAGAGAGAGGCCCAGCCAGUCACUCUAUCCACAACAGAAAGCAGCACUUCCUAUAGAGAGGCCUCCUCUGGCAACUGUGCAGGUGCUGUGCGGGGCCACUGCCCUGAGUGGUGAUAAUGAGGCCCUGGGGUUUGCAGGGAGUGUUGCUACGUCUUUGAAUAGACCUGGAGAAAUGGCUGGUUUUCUGUUCCUGUACUCGUCCCAGCAUUUUUCCUGCCUUGCUUUUAAAGGCCUCUGUUUAUUUCAUCAACAGCACUCAUACUCUCAACUGCUGCCAAAUGUCAUUGCAUCUCUGGCACGUUCCCUGAUCCUGAAGGGCUGAGGAAGCCUAUUUCCCAUGCCGCGUGCUCAUAUCUCCAUGCUGUGUCUGCGAUUCCAGAUGAGAGGAAUUCGUCCCCAUGUCCAUGUCUCAUCACCCAUCCCCUGCAAAGCUCCCUGGAGAGGGACUAUCCAGCUCAGCAGACACUAUGGGAGACUCAGGCCACUGUCAGCAGAGAGCAGACCAUUUUACACGUGACCUGCUUCUGGCCUCAGGGAGGGAAGACUGUGGGGUAAGAGCAAUAGCUUUUCCUUCUCAUCUGGGAUCAAUUAAGGUGUAAGUUUGGCGACGCUGGGCUAAAGCUCACUUCCAGAGCAAUGUAAGAAUAUACCAGGGCUUCCCUUCCAGCAAAAUGACCAGUGAUGAACGUGGCGAGGUAAGGGAUAUAGAGGAGGAGGAGGAGGAGGAGGAGCUGUGAAAGUUUAACUCCUUCAGAACGUUAUCUGUCUAGCAGAAACCCACGGACAGCCGCACUCGACGAGGAAGCCAGGCCCCAUUCCUGGCACACAUUCUUAGCAGAGACGUUGCACCUGGAUGCGUCUUGGGCUCUGUCUUCAAUAUGCGCAGUGGAGGGGACUUUUAAAUAAUUCUCAGGAAGAAAGAAACUGCAGAGCCCAAGUGGAAUUCUGGAUAUAAUGAAAUCCUGCCCCAGCCUGGUGGCUUCUCUCAGAUCUUUCCUCCCGGCUUGCCGCUUCAUCGUCUCUGAACCUCCUGUGUCUCCUUCGUGAUAAACUUGCAUUUUUAGAACAUUCCUGUGCUUUUCCAUGAGUGUGAGUGAGUGUUUCAGCUUCAAAACAUCUCAGAGCUUUUCAGGAGUGCUGCGAAGGGACUUGGUGAGUUGCCUGGAUGGCCCAAAUGUCACUCCUGCCACCUCCUUCCUGGAGAACUGCGUAGGAUGGGCAGAUGCCACUUCUCUUCUUCCUGUAUAGCCAGGACCUAACACAGUGUCCGGCAUAAAGUCGUCUUUCUAUAAGUAUUUAAAUAAGUAUCUACUGGGUGUACCUCUCCAUCACAAGAAGUCUCCAGCUUCCCAACCCUACAGCUUCCAAAGCAUCAUCUUUUCUUUUUCUUCCUAGGAGCCACAGUCAGAAUAAAACCAAAGCAGGCCAGGCACGGUGGCUCACGCCUGUAAUCCCAGCACUUUGGGAGGCCGAGGCAGGCAGAUUGUCUGAAUCCAGGAGUUUGAGACCAGCCUGGGACACAUGGCGAAACCCCAUCUCUAUUAAAAAUAUUUAAAAAAGUAGCCGGGCAUGGUGGCACACGCCUGUUGUCCCAGCUACUUGGGAGGCUGAGUCAGGAGGAUAGCUUGAGCCCAGGAGCUUAAGGCUGCAGUGAGCCGAGAUCGUGCCACUGCACUCCAGCCUGGGCAGAGUGUUUCAAAAAAAGAAAGAAAGAAAACCAAAGUAGACGAUGCUGCCUUGGGCUGGAAGGAGUGCCUAGCAUAAGGCUCACGGUCCCUCCUACGUCACAGCAGAGAGAUGCUUUCAGCCUCCCAUCACAUCCUAGAGGACAAGCCAUGACCUGCUUCGUUCUGCACAGCUCACAGUCUUCAAGGGUGGAUCACAGCAGAGACAUUUUACACCAACAUUACCAUCAGGCCCCUCCUGAUGUACAACGUUCCCCGAAGAGGAACAGUCAGAACCACUGCUGUGCCCUCAAUUUGAGGCCAAGACUCUGGCCAAGCCACUCAGACCCCGCUGUUAGCUGUGUCUGGGUUACCACCCCCAGGCUAUCCUUAUACUGAUGCUGCACAGGUACAAAGGUCUCCAGAGCAAAAAUGUUUGAUCCCAACGGGAUAUUUGAGUUAAAAGGGCGGAUAACCCUUUUAACUUGUCCGUACCAUUUGGUACGGACAAGUUAAAUACCUCUGGCAUGUAAAAAAGGUGUUUCAAAAAGGGCCACAAGCGUCAUCUCUGCUUGCCGAGGAAGCAGCCGCCUAUGUGUUAGCCUUUGGGAGGUCUUGUUACAAAGCCUAAACCUGUCCCAUCCUCAUUCCUUUGCAGUAACACACAGAAAGCCUUAUUCAAACAAAUAAGCUACCUCCGAUUGUUCAUUCAACAAGCAUGUAUUAAGAACCUAGGGUACAGGAACCCCUCCAAGGGCUUUAAUUCGGCUGACCAGUUGCUCACUUGCCUAGAAGUCUCAGUGUAUGCCUAUCACCCUGCAUCCUGUCUGGUUUAUUUUGUCCUGGAUUUUUCAUUUCUUUAUUCAAAAUACAAGUAGUUAUUACUAAGACUUAUUAAAAUGAGAUGGAAGAAUUGGAUAGACUUUCACUUUCUAUUUCAGUGGUCUCAUCUAGGAACAUAUGAGGUUAUGUGCAGUGAACAGAGUUAGCACUUUAAGACAUAAUGUCAGGAGUUCAAGACCAGCCUGGCCAAUAUGGUGAAACCCCAUCUAUACUAAAAACAAAAAAAAUUAGC